UACGUGAGGGGCGAACGUUGUUCGGUGUCACUGGGCUUAAAGGGUGCGUAGGUGGUUUCGUAAGUAAGGUGUGAAAGCCCUCGGCUUACCCGGGGAAUUGCGCCUUAUACUGCGAGACUUGAGGAUUUCAGGGGAAUGGGGAACUCCAGGUGUAGCGGUGAAAUGCGCAGAUAUCGUAAGGAAGACCAGUGGCGAAGGCGGGUCUCUGGACAGUUCCUGACGCUGAGGCACGAAGGCCAGGGGAGCAAACGGG
rnacentral:rRNA from 1 species